ACAGGAGGGGCGGUGCACCAGGCAGCAUGGCGGCCGCUAUGGCACUGAGCUGCGGGAUGCGCUACGGGCCCUAUUCCCGGCAGCUGCUAGGGCCGAGCGCCCGCGGGCGGCUCGUGCGGCCGGCGGUCUGGGGAGGGAGCGCGGCGCCGGCCUCCAGCCGGCCCGGCCCCGGGGGAGAGGUGCAGUACUGCGCCGAGCUGCUGCGGAAACGUGACUAUGAAGGGUUUCUGUGUUCUCUAUUGUUGCCUGCAGAAUCCCGCACCUCUGCUUUUGCACUGAGAGCCUUCAAUGUUGAACUGGCCCAGAUUAAAGACUCCGUAACACAGAAGACCAUAGGUUUGAUGCGAAUGGAGUUUUGGAGGAAAGCUGUGGAAGAUAUAUACUGUGAUAACCCACCACAUCAGCCAGUUGCUAUAGAACUGUGGAAGGCUGUCAAGAGACAUAACUUGACUAAAAGGUGGCUUCUGAAGAUUAUUGAUGAAAGAGAGAAAAAUUUGGAUGACAGAGCAUAUCGCAACAUCCAGGAACUUGAAGCAUAUGCUGACAACACUCAUAGCGCUCUCUUGUAUCUCACCUUGGAAAUGCUGGGUGUGCGGGAUAUCCAUGCAGACCAUGCAGCCAGUCACAUUGGGAAAGCACAAGGCAUUGUCACCUGUUUAAGAGCAACUCCUUAUCAUAGUAAAAGACAAAAGGUCUUUCUUCCUAUGGACAUUUGUACGUUGCAUGGAGUUUCGCAAGAAGAUUUCAUAAGAGCCAAUCAAGAGAAAAAUCUGAGAGAUGUAAUUUACAACAUUGCCAGCCAGGCGCACAUUCAUCUAGAACAUGUUCAAUGAGCUGUACACCUUGGUUUAAAAAUAAUGCAGCUGCAGUUUAUGCUCCAGUCCUGCAGUCAGAUCUGUUGUCUCAGACCCCCACAGCGAUGCAGAGCCCUAUAGAAAUCAGUGGGGCUUUGCCCAGAUGGAGGGGUCUGAGCUAGCGGUUCCAAUGCUGCAAUCGGAUCCUAAGGCUAUGUCUACACUACAGAUGCUACAGCUGCAGUGCUGCAGCUGUUCUGUGGGGGUGCCACAGUAUGGAUACUUGAUACAGUGAGGGAGGUGGUUUUUCCAUUGCUGUAGUUACAGCUGGGAGUUAGGUUGAUGGAAGAAUUUUUCCGAUGACCUAGUGGUGUCUACACUGAAGCGUAGGUUGGCUCUGUCUCUCUCAGGGGUGUGAAUUUUUUGUACCGCUGAGUGACAUAGCUAGGUCAACGUAGGUUUUUGGCGUAGACCAGCCCGAAGUUAUUAAUUCUUAUGAUGUGGAGAUCAGAAGUCAGCCCCCCUCGUACAUUGCUAACAGGAAUAAAAGUAGUAAAACCAUAUUUCUUAUAUUAAACAAGCAGAACACAUGGGGAGCAGAUCUGUGGAAUAAAAAAUACCAGUUUACGCAGUAAAUUUUCUGAUUAUACCUACAGUUUAAGGCUGCGAAAAGGCACAGGAAUGGUAACGGGCAUCUCACAAUAUUAGACACUGGUUUUGUAAUUACUUCUAUAUAUGCUGAAGGAUGGUGCUUGGUUUUUUAUUUAAUGAAAGUUGUACCUUCAUUGCAGUAUAUUCAAACCUGAAAGAUUCAAGCUCAUGAUAAAUUUUGCCAGUUUGAGCCAUAAAACUCCGUAUUUGAAGUUCACUUUGAUCUGGUAACUUCCCUAUGCAAUAUUUUUUUUCCUUCUCUUUUCAGGCUAGGUCCUUCAGUAAAAAUGUUCCUGCCAAAGCAUUUCCUGCCUUUCUCUAUACAGUUACUUUAGAGGAUUAUUUAUAUAAAAUACAGAAAGUAGAUUUCGACAUAUUCCAUCCAAGCUUACAUCAGAAGAGCACGUUACUACCGUUGUAUUUAUAUAUUAGAUCCUGGAAAAAAAAAUAUUAAAAAUAGACUUAACAUGUC